UCGAGCGGAUGAGAGGAGCUUGCUCCUGGAUCAGCGGCGGACGGGUGAGUAAUGCCUAGGAAUCUGCCUGGUAGUGGGGGACAACGUUUCGAAAGGAACGCUAAUACCGCAUACGUCCUACGGGAGAAAGCAGGGGACCUUCGGGCCUUGCGCUAUCAGAUGAGCCUAGGUCGGAUUAGCUAGUUGGUGAGGUAAUGGCUCACCAAGGCGACGAUCCGUAACUGGUCUGAGAGGAUGAUCAGUCACACUGGAACUGAGACACGGUCCAGACUCCUACGGGAGGCAGCAGUGGGGAAUAUUGGACAAUGGGCGAAAGCCUGAUCCAGCCAUGCCGCGUGUGUGAAGAAGGUCUUCGGAUUGUAAAGCACUUUAAGUUGGGAGGAAGGGUUGUAGAUUAAUACUCUGCAAUUUUGACGUUACCGACAGAAUAAGCACCGGCUAACUCUGUGCCAGCAGCCGCGGUAAUACAGAGGGUGCAAGCGUUAAUCGGAAUUACUGGGCGUAAAGCGCGCGUAGGUGGUUCGUUAAGUUGGAUGUGAAAUCCCCGGGCUCAACCUGGGAACUGCAUUCAAAACUGUCGAGCUAGAGUAUGGUAGAGGGUGGUGGAAUUUCCUGUGUAGCGGUGAAAUGCGUAGAUAUAGGAAGGAACACCAGUGGCGAAGGCGACCACCUGGACUGAUACUGACACUGAGGUGCGAAAGCGUGGGGAGCAAACAGGAUUAGAUACCCUGGUAGUCCACGCCGUAAACGAUGUCAACUAGCCGUUGGGAGCCUUGAGCUCUUAGUGGCGCAGCUAACGCAUUAAGUUGACCGCCUGGGGAGUACGGCCGCAAGGUUAAAACUCAAAUGAAUUGACGGGGGCCCGCACAAGCGGUGGAGCAUGUGGGUUAAUUCGAAGCACGCGAAGAACCUUACCAGGCCUGACAUCCAAUGAACUUUCCAGAGAUGGAUUGUGCCUUCGGAGCAUUGAGACAGUGCUGCAUGGCUGUCGUCAGCUC
rnacentral:rRNA from 1 species